UACGGAGGAUGCAAGCGUUAUCCGGAUUCAUUGGGUUUAAAGUGUGCGUAGGCGGGCUAUUAAGUCAGUGGUGAAAUUUUGCAGCUUAACUGUAACAGUGCCGUUGAUACUGUUUGGCUAGGAUUUGGUUGUAGUGUGCGGAAUGUGUGGUGUAGCGGUGAAAUGCUUAGAUAUCACACAGAACACCGAUUGCGAAGGCAGCACACUAAGUCAUUAUUGACGCUGAGGCACGAAAGUGUGGGGAUCAAACA
rnacentral:rRNA from 1 species